rnacentral:rRNA from 1 species
AGCGUCGUGCCUAUACUCUGCCGUCAACGGCACAGGGGGCGGCACACUAGCUUGUGUCGGGCCGUUAUGCCUUGACGAGUAGGAGGGUCGCGGCGAUGUGCGCAGAAGGGUCUGGGCGUGAGCCUGCCUGGAGCCAUCGUCGGCGCAGAUCUUGGUGGUAGUAGCAAAUACUCCAGCGAGGACCUGGAGGACUGACGUGGAGAAGGGUUUCUUGUGAACAGCUGUUGCACAAGAGUCAGUCGAUCCUAAGCCCUAGGAGAAAUCCUAUGUCGAUGGGGAGCCGUUUAAGUUGACGGGCGCGCGAGAGCGCGCUUCCGAUAUGGAAGGCAACCCACGGGGCGAAAGGGAA